CGCUUUACGUCCUUUGUGAUGAUUUCCGGUGUGUGACUGAAGUUAAUGCUCGUGGUUGCUAUCAGUAGGUCUUAUGUAUGGUAUCUCGAAUCAUCUACUUGCUUUCGGUGAUUGCAUCUUUUGACAAGCUGUAGUAUUCUACUGAAUACUUAAGAAAAUUACAGAGGUUUGACAGAGCCUGUGGACUUCAUGUUGUAGAGGGUUACAGUCCCUUUACAAGUAAUCGGUGUACCGUCAAGAGCAGAUGCAUUCCAUACUAUGGCUGAAUCGGGGCAGUAUAUUAACUUUCUAUUGGCUUUAGUGGCUUUGUGCUGAGUGCUGUGGCAGGAAAACAAUAAACACAUGGUGUGAUGUGAGGAUUUACCACAGUAGUCUGGUCUGUUAAAUGUUGGGACAGCUUUGUUGGGUUUUUAAGAUUUCUGCUUUCAUUUCCUGUCUGAAGGUCAAUUUUACUGUUUUAAGAAGCAAAAUAUGCAAUGCAAAAUACAUGAACUGGUAUGUAAAUAUUGAAAAUGUGUAAUAAAGUUUGACAAGUGAUGCAUUA